UUUAGUAUUAAUUUUACACUUUUACUCUUACCAAUAGAAAACUCUACUUUGAAUUUUUUUAAAAAAAAAAAAACGCCUAGGGGCACAUAACUCCGUGAGCUCUAAGGUAGCUCCGCCACUAGUGUCCUUAUCAAUUUGAGUUUGUACAUAUGACUCAAAAAUUUAUUAGAUGCUCCUCUGUCUCUCUUAUUUUGUAUAAUGAAAAUAGAAAUUAGGUUGGAUGAAAUUUAUCGUUAACGCGAGGAGACCGCAUAAGGUUAUGGAUGAAAUUAAAAAAAUAAUAUACAAAUUAAAGUAAUAAGUGACUUAAAAUAAGGACUAAAAUUCAAAAGGGUCCUGAUUGUUACAUGGCUUUUCACCUCAAGGUCCUCAACGCCCGGAUGAAAUUGCACAUUGUUGCUCCAUCUAAAAGUGGAUAUUCUGAUUCUAAUUCUUCUGAAUUCUGAUCUCUCCACCAAAAAGCUGUUUUCUCAGUUAAUCAUGAAUCAUAAAGGAAGGAAAAAGAUUGAGGUUGGUGGAACUUGUUCUAGUGUAGCAUUGGAGGAAAGGGGAUCCAGAAAUGUGAUAGAGAUGUCCACCCACAAUGGUCCUUAAGAUGAGGUGCAGAGUUUGAUAAACAUAAAGCAAGGAGAGGCAUGAAAAAUGUUGGUUGAGCAAUAAUAGUACAAAGUGUACGGACAAUACUCUCCAUAAUAUCGUUCAAGAUUCGAACAUCUGGGAUGAAGCUCUGUUAGGAGUUUGGACCUGCAAACCCAGAUAGCUCAUAUUGCAAUACCUUGUAGAAGUUGUGAUUUUUGUCAUUGUAACUUGUAAGACUAUGUACCAUUAUUAUCGUUCUAAUAGUCAUUUGUAUAGCCUUUUUUGGUACUA